UAUAUAUUUAUAAUUAACACAAUCAUCAAAUAAUUAGCUUUAGGACAUAUUUUCCAAUAGUGAGAGCACCGACUUAUGCCCAGUCCAUAUCUCAUAUAGAGUUUUAUCGACAGACUUGCUCGAUAUCUUAUUUAAAAUGUAGCAAGCAGUUUCUAGAGUAUAUCUCCAAAAGAAGAUUGGCAAACUCACAAAGCCCAUCA
rnacentral:lncRNA from 1 species